rnacentral:misc_RNA from 1 species
GAUGAAGAACGCAGUGAAAUGCGAUAAGUAAUGUGAAUUGCAGCAUUCAGUGAAUCAUCGAAUCUUUGAACGCACAUUGCGCCCGCGAGUAUUCUCGCGGGCAUGCCUGUCCGAGCGUCAUUUCAACCCUCAGGGCCCGCCUGCUUGCAGGCGCGGCGCUGGUGUUGGGGAUCGGCUACCCUGCCGUCCCCCAAAUACAGUGGCGGUCUCGCUGCAGCCUCCCCUGCGUAGUAGCAACACUCGCAUGCGGAGCGCGGCGCGGCCACGCCGUAAAACCCCCGACUUUCUGAACGUUGACCUCGGAUCAGGUAGGAAUACCCGCUGAACUUAAGCAUAUCAAUAAGCGGAGGA